GACAGAGGGGGCAAGCGUUGCUCGGAAUUACUGGGCGUAAAGCGUGCGCAGGCGGUUGUGCAAGACAGAUGUGAAAUCCCCGGGCUCAACCUGGGAACUGCAUUUGUGACUGCAUGGCUGGAGUGCGGCAGAGGGGGAUGGAAUUCCGCGUGUAGCAGUGAAAUGCGUAGAUAUGCGGAGGAACACCGAUGGCGGAAGGCAAUCCCCUGGGCCUGCACUGACGCUCAUGCACGAAAGCGUGGGGAGCAAACAGG
rnacentral:rRNA from 1 species